GUGUUGGGCUGUAAACACAAGCCCCACCUGUGGACAUCGGGUCCUCAUACCACCCUCAUGGAGUCUGUUUCUGACUGUUUGAGCAGACACAUGCACAUUUGUGGCCUGCUGGAGGUCAUUUUACAGGGCUCUGGCAGUGGAUUGUUGCCCUCCUACAGCCUCCUCCUCAUCUCCUGAUGUACUGGCCUGUCUCCUGGUAGCGCCUCCACGCUCUGGACACUAUGCUGACAGACACAGCAAACCUUCUUGCCACAGCUCGCAUUGAUGUGCCAUCCUGGAUGAGCUGCACUACCUGAGCCACUUGUGUGGGUUGUAGACUCCGUCUCAUGCUACCACUAAAGUGAAAGCACUGCCAGCAUUCAAAAGUGACCAAAACAUCAGCCAGGAAGCAUAGGAACUGAGAAGUGGUCUGUGGUCACCACCUGCAGAACCAAUCCUUUAUUGGGCGUGUCUAAUUUCCUAUAAUUUCCACCUGUUGUCUAUCCCAUUUGCACAACAGCAUGUGAAAUUGAUUGUCACUCAGUGUUGCGUCCUAAUUGGACAGUUUGAUUUCACAGAAGUGUGAUUGACUUGGAGUUACAUUGUGUUGUUUAAGUGUUCCCUUUAU